rnacentral:tRNA from 1 species
UGGCUGAGCGGUAAAGCGCUUGGCUUCCGUACUGGAGAUCCCGGGUUCGAAUCCUGG